rnacentral:rRNA from 1 species
GACGAACGCUGGCGGCGUGCUUAACACAUGCAAGUCGAACGGAAAGGCCCUGCUUUUGCGGGGUGCUCGAGUGGCGAACGGGUGAGUAACACGUGAGUAACCUGCCCUUGACUUUGGGAUAACUUCAGGAAACUGGGGCUAAUACCGGAUAGGAGCUCCUGCUGCAUGGUGGGGGUUGGAAAGUUUCGGCGGUUGGGGAUGGACUCGCGGGUUAUCAGCUUGUUGGUGGGGUAGUGGCUUACCAAGGCUUUGACGGGUAGCCGGCCUGAGAGGGUGACCGGCCACCAUGGGACUGAGGUACGGCCCAGAAGCCUACGGGAGGCAGCGGGGGGGAAUAUUGCACAGUGGGCGGGAGCGUGAUGCAGCAACGCCGCGUGCGGGAUGACGGCCUUCGGGUUGUGAACCGCUUUCGCAUGUGACGAAGCGUGAGUGACGGUAAUGGGUAAAGAAGCACCGGCUAACUACGUG